UAACCAUUAUCCAACCACAGUAUUGGCUGUCUAAUUUUUCAACCAUUGGUUUAGCAUGCUAGUUUACCCAGAUGUUGGCAUGCUAACUAUCUAAACAGUUUUAGCAUGGCAAUUUUUCAACAAUGCGAUUAGUGUCCUAAUCUCUCAACCGUAGCAUCCGAUGCUUUUUGUAAAUAACAUUUAGCAUUUAGCCUGCAUAUUGAGACAUUUUUGCUGAACAUUUGUGACUUCAAAUAUCUGGCGUCCUAAUCGGAGACGCAACUGCUGAUAAAAAAAAAAAGUGUCUGGAGAUUUUCAAGAAAGACUGCUGCAUCUUGAGUCGAUCGUCACGUCAGUCAACACAUAGAACGUGAAACGUAAAGCGUAGUUAAUUGUAUUCAACUAGAAAACACACAUUUAAUCCCCAGUUUGUCUCAGGUGUGGCACAAGGUCCUGUUGCCGCGUUUUUGAUGAACACCUCAGAGACGAGUGAGAACCAGCGAAUGAAAAGAGCAGCAUUACGUAAUUGCAUCAUUCAGAGAUGCUGACAAUGCAACCAGACAUGUUUGUCAUUGCUAGGAGGGGGAGAGGGGAUGGAUUUGUUUGUGGACUAAUCCAGAAAGGCUUCAGACAAACAGCCGUGCAAAGUGUGGAGGAAGGCAUUUCAAAGCAGCCAUAACCGCAGAGAAUGCUCCGCUAAGCUCACACCUCCGCCAUGAAGGUUACACUCUGAGGAUAACUAGAUGCACAGCAGAGCUGCAUGUAAUUUCAUUUUACUUGACACCCCGCGUUAUAUAAAGUUCAGGCAGACAAAAGGAGGCGUCCCUGCGGAGGACCUUGACUCGGCUCUUCGGGCUGCAGUUUGAGGCGUUACGAAAGCAGCAUGUGUCACCAGAUGUAGUGAUGAAGAGUUGCCUUUUCGUCCCAAACCGACGGCGCCGAACUUGUUACAGCUGACACCACCUUUCCACGCGGCACGAACGACUUGAGGAGGAUCUAUGUCGGGAUGGAAAACCUGGGUCCAGAGGGAUUCUCAGACAUCUUCAGAGCACAUGUUCGCUGAAAGUGCAGAGGGAUAUUUGACUUGACAGAGCAUGCUGAGGCAAUUCUCCAACAACAAAGUUCUAUUGUGCUCAACUCUGAGCUCCAUUGUUUAAUUCCCUUCUAACUGACGCUCGUCUGUAGAAACUAAAAGUCCCUUUAGAUAAAAAACAGGCUAAAAGAUCUAGAAAAACUCUAGCAUUGCCAACCAGCUCAGCACUGCAGGGCCGCAAUUAGCGGUCCAAGUUAGUGAGUGACCUCCCCUGGGUCGAUGUUAGGCCCGUCUGCUGUCCCUAUUGUAGGAUGAUGCCAAUUUUUGAUUGAUCAAAUUCCUACAUUUCAAUCAAAUUAAACAGGAGAUUCAUUUCAGAGCCUUUCUGUGAAAGAAACUUUCAAACUUUGGGGAAAGAUUUUAGAAAUUCAGGAAAACUUGAAUUGCCUCUCCUAACAGCCUUGAAGGCGAAAGAUAAAUAUCCAUGAGGCACCCUGAAAGAAGCCUGUUUUAUUUCUGGAGAUUAAUUGCAAUCACAUGAACGUGUCGAAAAUGUGAUUCAUUUCUGGCACAGAGAGUUAUAUCUGAAGCUGUGUUUGAUCAAUUUAGUCAAUAAUUGAUUUUGUUUGCCAGAUUGAUUUUGCGUUCAGGGGAGGCAGGUGAGUAAUCCUGCUAAGUAAAAAUAAAGCUAUGAGAAGUAAAAUAGAUGCUAACAACAAUGAAAGAAAAUCACUUUGUCCACUUGGAUUUUCUAUAACUUGUUUUUCUUAUCGGUAAUGUCAACAUUUUAUGGUCAAAAUCUUAGAAUUUGCGCAUUGCCUGUUGAAAUACAUGCAAGAAGAGCCGAGGUGAGGCAGUGUAGUACCACGCCUCACUGAUAGGAGGCAGUGCUGAUCCCCUUAGAGACAAUGAGCAACAGGUGCUCUUCUUCUACGCAUCGAAAAGAUUGUCGAGGGAAAAUACGGACGGAGCAGAACCGCUCAAAUACACAACAAAAAGAAAACUUUUCUGUUUUGUUUUUAUGAAUUAAGUGAACAAACUGUCAAUCCUGUUCCUAAAUGCAAAAUGAUGCCUACAUUUAUUUUCAUGUACAUGUAAAUACGAGAUUAAAUAAUUAUGCAACAAUGUCAGUAGUUUUUAAAAUCUUACUUGUGACAUUAAUUUUCUAUUUUGUUGCCUAAAAUCUAGCAAUAAGGUUAUUUCGACCCAAUCUAACAUUGUUAACCUAAACGAUCACUUAUUUCUAAGCAAAGCUGCUAAAUUAAAAGAUUAUUUUUUUGUUAAAUGUAAAUAUUUGUUAUUUUUAUGAGCCCCAAGCAAAUUGUACAUGAAUAUAGACAAUGUUAUUUUGGCCGAACCUAGCCGUGUUUCAAUUUUUGCCACGUCAAAAUAUGCUAUUAAUCAUAAACAUGAUCACUAUUUUCCUAAACUUGGAGUUUUCCUUAUGCUAUUUAUGAUUUCUUCCAUAAAUCUUGAUAAAAUAUGUUGUCAAUAUCUGGCCAUGUCAACAUUGUGAUUAUUUCUAGACGCCUUUAUGGACGGAAGCUGCAGAUUUCUGUCCCAGUUGAUGCUGAUUUAGCCUGACCGUUUAAAGUGGAACGGAAGUCUGUCGUUUUCCUGUUUGCUCAUUUUUACUCAUCCCGGGCGACCUUAAACCCAAACAGAGACAUGUUGCAUUGUGGGAAAGUGAAACUUGCCGCCCGAACACGGCUCCAGCUCCACGUCUAUCUGUGGAAAUGAGAGAAGGAUGCUGCGUGUAAUCAGCUGUUUACAGCCGCCGCAGCAGCUCCGGCCUAAUGGCUCCAACAUGGCCGACACGGGCUCAGUUACGUCACCUAAAUGAAUGCCCUCUGUUCCAGAUCACCCAGCUGCAUGUUUCCAGUUUACCCAGUCUGGGUGUGAGAGGAUGAAGAAGAGGAGGAGGGAGAGGAGGUGGAGGUUGCGGGGGCAUCCAGAGGAAGACGCAUGUAAACCCAUUUCAAAACAAACGGGCCAGUGUUCAAUGCCUGAAUGAAUCAACGCAAGCGACCGCACAACAGGACAUGGUGGCCAUUUAACACUGGUGUUCAGCCAAUCUGCACCAAGGAAAAUAAACGGCACUCUGUGAUUGGCUGCUCCGCAAACCAGCCAAUAGGAAGUCAGCAAUCAUCGAGUCCAGGUAUUUCAGCCCCCCAGGCCACAUUUUCUUUGUUGUACAAAAAAAAUGUAUAUCUGAAAAAUAAUGCUAACUUUCCACGAAUAAUCUGAAGUGGAGUUCCACAGAAAAUCCACCAAUAGCGUCCGUUUGAAUCACGGCUACGCGCAGCUUUAAACACUGUCGUUCGUGUCAUGUAGCUCUAGCUAAAUUUGCAGCGGCGUUGAAUUUUAAUUUUGAAAAUGAGUGUGCCACUUCGUUUUUUUUCCUCACACUUAAACUCCAGCUUUUACUUUGAAAAGCCGCGGCUCAGAUUACACAGACAGGAACCAUAAAGACACGCAGAUGACAUUUCCUCCCGUCUCCCUCAUGAAUAUCAAAGCCAGGCCAGAAAAACAAGGCAGGGCAUUAGAGCCCUAUUAUUGUAUUUGCAUUCCCCAUAACACGCGGCGUAUUGGUUGCUGUAUUUAUUGCCUCAUCAGCGCGGCGUGGCUGCUAGCAGCGGCUGAUUUAUUAGCCCAACGUCACAUGGAGUGAGUUGGCGAACGGAGUGGAGGAAGGUUUUCCUGCUGGUGGACUUUCCUGACGAUUGGCUUCUCUCCUGGCCUGGAGCCAGAUCAGGACUUCUAUCUGCACAGCUCUACGUCCGGCUUGAGGUUUCCGUUUUUGUUUUGCAGAGUCUCUUGGAAGUGCAGCCGAGGUCCUCCGCUCAUCUCUUUUUUCCAAUCUUUGUGGGAUUUGGAGUGAUUUGCGCCGCGCUCCCCGAGGGAAAUAAAUACUUUGAUUAAUGUAAUCCUGGGGAGGCUGAUGUCCCUCCCCUCCCCCACCUGCACCUGAGGGACUGCUCAGCAAAACAAAAACAAGAAGAAGAAGAAGAAACGAGCAGAGAGCGACAACUGAACGAGUGCAGAUUGGAUUUGUUUGGUUUCUUAAUUAGCGCGCCUUUAGUGCGCAGCAUCAGUCUUGAUUAGCAUGUAGCGCUAUCCAACAGGACACUGUAAAAGUGUGGCUCACGCUCAUGUGACUCCUGGAAGUGGCAGCAUCAUGCUGGGUGGGACUGCUGGGGUUACAGGUGCAAAGUUCUUCCCGGUGCUCGAAUAAUUCCUUGAAAACAAGAAUUGGACGUGCAAGUUUAAAUGUACUACAUAGUUCCUAUUACGAGUGUUGAACCAGAUGGCAAAAAUAGUGGCAGCAUGAUCCUGUGGGAUAUGUGUAGCUUGAAGGAGAAGGGGGCGGGGGUUCUUGAAAAAUGACUCAUAAAAAUAGUAACUGAAAGCAAAACUUAAAUUCAUUGCACUUUUCAUGCAAGAAAGACCAAGUGGCAGCAUCAUGCUGUGGGACCGCUGCUAGUCAGACCAGCUCAUCUGGAAUAUGAAUGAUCAGCUCCAUCACCAGAACCUAAAGAACCUUAUUUACCAUAUUUCUUUCUUUUUUUUUUUUUUUUGUUGUUGUUUUUUUUUUUUUUUCAUUUUCCUCCUAACUAGUUUAGAACAAAUCCAAACUUUAUAUUUGUGUAUAUCCGUAUAUUUAUGCCACUCACUACUAGUUAUUUAUUCAAUUUAAAAAAAAAGGUCAUUUAUAAAUAUUAUUAAGUCAUAACUAGUGUCAUUUUAAGGCACAUUUUUGUCUCUUUGUCUAUUUAUUAAAAAAUGUUUUCUAUCAUUUAAAAAGCCUCAAUGUUAUGACUGGCGCACAUAUUUUGUAAUAUUUCAUGUUAAAAAUAAAGAUGUAUUUUUACAUAUUAUUAUUCACAAAUAUUAUUUUUAGCGACUUUGUUCAACACGGUUCCUUUUGUCAAAUAUUGGGCCCCUGCCUCUUGAAAGUCUUCUGUGCGGCCCUGCUGGGGCUCAAAACAUGAGCGCCACCUCCGCCGGCUUCAACUUUACUGUAAAGGUCAGAACUGAAAUCCACUUAGAAUUACACUAAUGAGCGCAAACAGGGGCGCAAAUGUCGAAAAUCUGCGCAAUAAUUCUGAUGAAAGAGAGUCCAGUUAAAAACUCCUAACAUCUCUUCACCUGCACAUCUCCAGCAUCUCCGCGCUUCAGCUUCACAGAGCGGUUACUGUGUGUGUGUGUGUGUGUGUGUGUGUGUGUGUGUGUGUGUGUGUGUGUGUGUGUGUGUGUGUGUGUGUGUGAGAGAGAGAGAGAGAGAGACUCCAUGAAGCAUAUUAAUAAUAAAAAAGCCUGUCUGAAUGAGGGGAAAAUCCCCAUUCAUGUCUGACACCGAAGGCCUGCUUGAAGCCCAUUUAAUUAACGGUAUAUAUUACCGUCUAAGUGCUGCGAAGUUCGGCUCUAAAUCAGCGUUUGGGCCUGACACGCUCAACGUAUGUCGGAUUACAGCGAGCCGGACCGAGCGUGAUGGGGGGGGGGGAGUUUGGGGGGCCUGCAAAUAAAUUAUGUAGCCCACAGGCAACUUUAAGUGUGCCAUAAUUAAAAAGCGGCGGGAAUUGCAUCAGUUUAAUGCGAAUAUGCGGCGGGCGAGCCACAGAAGUGUCUGAAAUUUACGGCCGAAAAUCAUCUUUUAUGGAGAAGAGAGAGACAAUAGAUUAAUGCGAGCUAAUUGAUUUCCCCCCUUAAUUCGCUGGAGCUGCUGUGCAACAAGCCUACAUUAAAAAAUAUAUAUAUAUAUAUUUUUUUUUUUUUAAAUCCUCAUUUUAUUAAUUAGUGGCGCCUUGUAGGAGAUGUAUCUCUCUCUCUCUCUCUUUUCCAGCAGGAGCAACCCGCAAACUCCCGCGAUACUUCGGGAGUUUACUACCGCUAUUAUCGGUUGCGAGCACCUCCCCUCCGCCCCCCAACAAAAAAAGUCGCGGCUCCGCCAUAUGUUUGCGCCAAACAUCCGUGAUGCACAUGGAGGCCGGACCUGAGGAGCCUGAGUGGCGGCUCUGGUGCGCAGGCGCAGGCGCAGGUGGUGGGUGGGUUGGGGGUCAAAGCCAUCUUAUGACAAAUUCUCUCCCUGUCUGAGGA